UGGGGAAUAUUGCACAAUGGGCGCAAGCCUGAUGCAGCCAUGCCGCGUGUGUGAAGAAGGCCUUCGGGUUGUAAAGCACUUUCAGCGGGGAGGAAGGCGUUAAGGUUAAUAACCUUGGCGAUUGACGUUACCCGCAGAAGAAGCACCGGCUAACUCCGUGCCAGCAGCCGCGGUAAUACGGAGGGUGCAAGCGUUAAUCGGAAUUACUGGGAGUAAAGCGCACGCAGGCGGUCUGUCAAGUCGGAUGUGAAAUCCCCGGGCUCAACCUGGGAACUGCAAUCGAAACUGGCAGGCUAGAGUCUUGUAGAGGGGGGUAGAAUUCCGGGUGUAGCGGUGAAAUGCGUAGAGAUCUGGAGGAAUACCGGUGGCGAAGGCGGCCCCCUGGACAAAGACUGACGCUCAGGUGCGAAAGCGUGGGGAGCAAACAGG
rnacentral:rRNA from 1 species